rfam:Jatropha curcas cultivar GZQX0401 scaffold275_55, whole genome shotgun sequence.
AAGCUAUGAUGUGGGCACUUCCUCAAUAGGUCUUUGACUAUCUCCCAAGCUUCAUAUGAACUUUCUUUAUCUUGGUGGGCAAAAGUCAUUAUCUCAUUGCGAAGCUU